CCAUUAUCUUAAAGAAACAGCUUUCAAAUGCUUUUCGGCGGUUUUUCAAGAGCCCAAGAUUUGAA
rfam:Mustela putorius furo unplaced genomic scaffold scaffold00168, whole genome shotgun sequence.